CUACGGGGGGCUGCAGUGAGGAAUAUUGCACAAUGGGGGGAACCCUGAUGCAGCAACGCCGCGUGGAGGAUGACGCAUUUCGGUGUGUAAACUCCUUUCAUAUGUCAAGAAAAUGACGGUAGCAUAUGAAUAAGCACCGGCUAACUCCGUGCCAGCAGCCGCGGUAAUACGGAGGGGGCAAGCGUUACUCGGAAUCACUGGGCGUAAAGGACGCGUAGGCGGGUUGGAAAGUCAGGUGUGAAAUCCUACAGCUUAACUGUAGAACUGCACUUGAAACUUCUAAUCUAGAGUAUGGGAGGGGGAGAUGGAAUUAGUGGUGUAGGGGUAAAAUCCGUAGAUAUCACUAGGAAUACCUAAAGCGAAGGCGAUCUCCUGGAACAUUACUGACGCUAAGGCGUGAAAGCGUGGGGAGCAAACAGGAUUAGAUACCCUCGUAGUC
rnacentral:rRNA from 1 species